GUACAAAGUCUUUUCCAAUGGUGGCAAUACUGGUGGAGUAUACAUCGAUUAACCUAAAAUUUAUGUUAAUUGACAUUAUAACCAAUACGAUGCAAAUUUCUGCAAGUACGACACAAUGUCAUAAUAAAUGUCAUAAAUAAUAGACUUUAUUGCUAUAUUAUUACUGAUGGAAGAAGAAGAGAGAGAUAAAAAUAGACAUCGAAAAAACAAUAUAAUAAGGAGAAAUUUAAGAGAUCCAUUUGAUAUUCCGGAUAACAUUCAUCAACAUCUCAAAUUAUAUAGAUAUUUGCAACACUUUCUUAGCAUCUGGUUCCUAUAAAAAUAAAGUAAAAUUUUCUAUCAUGCAUGAGUCAAACUUCCAUCUCUGUUUCUAUUCAUGCUACUGUAAUAUUAAAUAAUAUUAUGGAACAUUAGAUUCAAUUUCCAACAGAUAGAAACAACAAAUUAAACAAGAAUUUUUUGAAACUGGAGGAGUGAUUAGCGCUAUAGACAGAACUCACAUUGUGAUCUUUCCACCACAAUCUGAAUGAGAACAUCUUUUUAUUAAUAGGAAACAAUAUCAUUGAGUGAUGAUUAUUUGUUCCUAUAAUAACGAAAUAAUAGCAGUAAAUGCAAUGCGUAGUGGAAGAACUCAUGACGCCAGAGUCUUUCGUUCUUCGCGUUUGUUCCAUUAUUUAGGAAGACAAUAGGAGAUUCCACCUAUCCGUUUAUGCCUUAUCAUUCAUAAACGCACCAUAGGCUUUCCAGAGUUUAGAUACACAGAACAUUUUACAAAAGCGCGAUCUUCUGCAGAAAGAGGUAUAGGUAUUUUGAAAGACUGAUGAUGAUGUUUGCGAAAAGAGAGGACAUUACAUUAUCAGUCGGAAUUCGCAGCUCAUAUUGUAAAUGCAUGUUGCGUUCUACACAAUAUUGCUAUAAAAUGGAGAAUUCCAGAAAAUGAAAUUUAUUUAAAUGAGAUAGAUGAACAAAUACCAAUACAAUAUGAUGACAUUGACGUAAAUAACGCUGAACAAAUAUGAAAUGUUGUUCAAUGGUAUUUUAAAUAGACAACAUGCGAAUGUCUCAAGCUACACAAUUGUGCAAGAUUAUAUUUUUUAACGUAUUUACAAGAGACUAAAUGAAGUAUUCAUGCUAAAAAGAUUCUCAUAAGGAGAAUCCUGUGUCUUUAUGGACACACAAAAGAAUAUUAAGAAUCACGGAAAAUUAGAAAAAUUUGUCAGAAUUGAGUUUAAGCGAUAACGAUAUAAAAAUGAUAGAGAUUAUUUUUAUUGUUGCUGAAGAGAUAAGUUGUAAGGCUUAAAUAUAGUCUUUUCUUUUUUAUUAUUAUCCAAAUUAACAAGUGAUACAAAAAACGAGAAUAUAUAUCCUAUUUUCCUUCAUUAAAAUGUAAAUUUUAACUCUUCGUAUAAUUUUUUUUUCCAUAUCUAUUAUGCAUUUAGCGACAGCAAGAAAUACAUAAUGAUAAUGUAAGCACUCGUUAUAACAUCGUCUCGUUAUAUUAAUUAUAAAUCAUAAUGCUUGAUAGGAAAGAUAUAUGUUAUGACAUUCGAAGUGUAUUGUUGCGACUUGUAAUGAUUAUUGUACAAAUGGAUAAACAUUAAUGAAUGGAUACGGAA